GAUGAAGAACGUAGCGAAAUGCGAUAAGUAGUGUGAAUUGCAGAAUUCAGUGAAUCAUCGAAUCUUUGAACGCACAUUGCGCCUUCUAGUAUUCUGGGAGGCAUGCCUGUUUGAGCGUCAUUAAACCUCUCUCAAGUAUGAUUACUUGGAUGUGAAGGAAGAGUACCUUAAACUUAAGGAGUGUUCUCCUUUGAAAUUGAUUAGCAGAUGGUAAUGUUAUUAAAUCCCUGAUGUUGUAAGAAAUGGGGGGGGGGUGGGGGGGGGGUGGGUGGGGGGGGGUGGGGGGGGUGGUUGUGGUUGACCUCAAAUCAGGUAAGGAUACCCGCUGAACUUAAGCAUAUCAAUAAGCGGAGGA
rnacentral:misc_RNA from 1 species